rfam:Myotis brandtii contig246102, whole genome shotgun sequence.
GGCGGUUCUCAGGUGAUGCACCCUGGAAUCGAGCUCCCUCCUCUCUGGUUCCAGGUGCAUCACCCGAGAACCACA